rnacentral:rRNA from 1 species
GAUGAACGCUGGCGGCGUGCCUAAUACAUGCAAGUCGAACGAACAGAUGAGGAGCUUGCUCCUCUGACGUUAGCGGCGGACGGGUGAGUAACACGUGGAUAACCUACCUCUAAGACUGGGAUAACUUCGGGAAACCGGAGCUAAUACCGGAUAAUAUAUUGAACCGCAUGGUUCAAUAGUGAAAGACGGUUUUGCUGUCACUUAUAGAUGGAUCCGCGCCGCAUUAGCUAGUUGGUAAGGUAACGGCUUACCAAGGCGACGAUGCGUAGCCGACCUGAGAGGGUGAUCGGCCACACGGGAACUGAGAAACGGCCCAGACUCCUACGGGAGGCAGCAGUAGGGAAUCUUACGCAAGGGGCGAAAGCCUGACGUAGCAACGCCGCGUGAGGGAUGAAGGUCUUCGGAUCGGAAAGCGCUGUUAUUAGGGAAGAACAAAUGUGUAAGUAACUAUGCACGUCUUGACGGUACCUAAUCAGAAAGCCACGGCUAACUACGUG